GGAUGAGAUUGGUAGGCGAUGAAUAAAUAAGAUACUCAUACAAGCUAGUAAUAGGAAAUGUCACACCUUGCUUCGAAUAUACAUUGGUGUUGAGUUGUGUGCGUGUGCUUGGUUGACGCGAGAGAGAGAAAAGAAUAAACAGUCUUGUGUUAUGUUUUGGGCCUAAACAACGCGUGUUUCUGUGUCUCCGAAAAUAAUCCGAAAUAGUCGGAAAAUCUGAAGGAAAUCCCGCUCCAGCCACGACAAUGGCGCAAACAGCGCUCCCGCGAUUGUUUAAUAAUGAAGAAACAUGUUUUUACAGUGAAAAUGUGAAAAGUUCAGUGCAUUUUUCCGCUUAGUUCGGUUGCUGUUCUGUGACGCUUGGGAAGCCAUGAUGGAGCUGCCCGGUAAAAAAACAAAAAGGUUGGAUAUUAGGCCAAGUGGCUGACAUGGCUCGACAAACGUCGGGCGUUUUGACGACUGCAUGAUUGAGCUGAAAUGUUUUGUUCCGAACGACGGAACAGAUGUUUAUCACUAAAAAACGUGUAUUUCCAGGAUAAAUUGGCGGACCACAUUGGGCCUAGAGUUGGAACAACCGGUAGCAGCAAACUGCCAAGAACGUUGAAGGGCAUCGGAUAUAGGACAUCGCUCACUGUUAUCUAGCUCGGGCAUCGAUUAGACGACAUCGUUCACUGUUAUUUAGCUUCAAAGAAACUAUUGUAUACGAGAUUAGAAAUAUAUUGUAAAUUGUUUUGAAAAGAUUCAGGUUUUUACGCCGGAUGUUAUAAGGCUUUUCCUGGCAAAAAAAAAAAAGGCCAUUGCAUGAAAUUAAAAUAUUGUAUAGGUUAGGUUCUCAUUGAUGUAUUUGUUGUAAUUUCAUUGAUCAGAGAGUAGAAGAGGAGGAGGAUGUAGUGGAUGAGAUUGGUAGGCGAUGAAUAAAUAAGAUACUCAUACAAGCUAGUAAUAGGAAAUGUCACACCUUGCUUCGAAUAUACAUUGGUGUUGAGUUGUGUGCGUGUGCUUGGUUGACGCGAGAGAGAGAAAAGAAUAAACAGUCUUGUGUUAUGUUUUGGGCCUAAACAA